AUGAAAGACUAUAAUGGGGCUUUUAUUGAAGUGAAGUCAGUCGAGGAUUAUAAGUUCCUGAAUUCUUCUUAUGUUCCAGUACUUAAACAACUUGAAUCUGCAAAACUACAGCAGUUUUACUUUGAGAAUAAGCUCGAGAAUGCAACGAAGGAUACAACUAAUAUGAAAUUCAGGAACCCAAAGUAUCUCUCAAUGAGAAUGCAACAAAGGAUACAACUAAUAUGAAAUUCAGGAACCCAAAGUAUCUCUCAAUAUUGAACCACAUUAGAUUCUAUUUACCAGAACUGUACCCCAAGUUGCAUAGAAUAUUGUUCUU
rnacentral:lncRNA from 1 species